UAGCAUCCUGUGAAUGGAUUUAACACUCACUGUGAGAUAUGAUGUUACAGGGUCUUUUCCUUAUACUAAGUAACUGGAUGGACUGAUCUGAGACAUCGUAGGCCUACAGAAUGUUCUCUUGUAAGGACAUCUGUCAAAAUUUCAAGCCCCACAAGAAAGACUCUGUUUUGAUUCCAUUUUUAUUCGGCUUUAUUGCACCACUCUGACUUUUUUUUUAACCAAACAUACAGUGAGCUCCAAAAGUAUUGGGACAGUGACACAUUUUGUUGUUAUUUUGGGUCUGUGCUCCAGCACUUUGGAUUUGAAAUUACAAUGACUACGAGGUUAAAGUGCAGACUGUCAGCUUUAAUUUUAGGGUACCAUUUAGAAAUUACAACACUUUUUGUACAUUGUCCCCCCCAUUUUAGGGGACUAAAAGUAUUGGAAUACAGAGCCAAACAAACAAAAAAUGUUUCACUGUCCCAAUACUUUUGGAGCUCACUGUUAGUGCUAAACACCUUUGUGUAUUUGUGUGGCUAUAAGUGGCAUUUAUUGUUGUUUCUUGCCAUUGUGAAAUUACUUAUAUUCAUUCCCCAUAUCUUUGAUCUUAUCAAGAGGGUGUCAAGUGAUGACUUAUUCGUUGUGACUGGAUAUCAGAGGGGCAUGUUAAACAUUUUUGGGCACUGAGGGCAGGUCAACUUUUUGUCUGAAUCACAGAAUUCCUUCUAGGCUUAGUUCAGUGAUGUAGGGUUCCUUUGACUUUCAGGAAAAAUCUACAGAGAAAAUAUUGUUUAAUAUGUCAUUCCUUUUCUGUAGGAGUCAACACACCCAGAACAUUUGAUCCCACUAAACAAAUUAUGGAUUGUUUCACCGUUUUCCCCUCAUACAUCAAUAUUAAUCUUAGUAACAUGGUUUCCAUAAAAAUAUUGUUCAAUUAUUGCUGUGUUGUUGGCCGCAUAUUACUUUCCAUCAAGUUUUUCCCUUAAACAUCACAAAUUUGCAUGCCUCUAUUUCCUUUUAGAAAGUGAGAUGAGAAUGAAUGGAAAAAAUCUUGACAUUUCGUAAUUGUAUUUUGAGGUUUUGUUUUUUUCUUGUUCAGAAGGACAUAAUGAUGAUUAAAUGCUAAUUGUCCACCUGUCCUGUCCAUUGCAUGUUGUAUAACAGUCAACACAUCAGUAUCAAAGCCAUAACACAAAACCACUGCUGUGAUGCGUGGCUGUGGGUUUGUGGCUUUGAGUGCAUGUCUGUCUGUGUGUGGGUGUGUGUGACAGGCCACCGUAGGCUCCCUCUAACCUCGCAUGUGAAACUACUCUACCCCCUCGCACACAGGGAUUCCCCCAUAGCCGUGAGUGUGGAACGUCACCUACAUGUUGAAACUGCGUCAUGGCCAAGUAGAGUGCACAUCUGUAGGAACAGAGGAGAAGGCAGACCACGUACCGUGAAACUGCUGCCCUUGCUCAUUCUAAUGAGAGCUCUGCCGCUGCUCUCUCUGACAUCACAGGCAGGCGUGGUCCGCCCCCACGUUGCCUUGCAGAGAUGGGCCUACCUGUGACGCACACACUCCUCCUCGGUGUAACCCUUACCAUGCCAGAGGCUUGUAUGAACACAGGGAGAACCGGAUUGGGAUCAUCUUUAAAAAUAAGAUUAGAAGUGCAUGCACUGCAGUGGUUUGUUUUAGAGGUGGAGCAGCUCCAUUCACAGGAAGAAAUGGUUUGUGUGACGUAUGUCUAAUAAAAC
rnacentral:lncRNA from 1 species